AUGAUGAGAGUUUUUUUUCUAGUUCUUUCGGUAUGCAAAGGACUGCUUUGCAAGGUUACAUUUCGUUCUUUUUUCCUACCCAUUUUACCCAUUUUGUUGGUUUUGCUGUAUGUCAACCAGUUCUGUUGUUUUAGGAACAGUACUCACAUUUUCCUUCUGUUCUCCCUUUUUCUUGAAUGCUAUGAUAGUUCUGCUUUCCCUUGGAAAGUUUCGAAACUAUCUUAUUUGGUGCGGGGUCAGUUUUCUUCUUUCAAUUGCUAUUUGACUUUUGAUAAUUUCAUUCUUCUACUGUACUGUAUCCACUUAUCAGUUACUAGUAUUUUCGGAUAA
rnacentral:rRNA from 1 species